GAUUGACCCAAAUCUCACCUGUUUCAGCAGAUGGGCUAAACCAGGUUGAAGCCAACUAAGGAGUCUCAUACUUGUCGGUCCUGAUCGCCGAUGCAGUCCGCGCUCGUCCAUGGCACCCCUCCCGCUCCAAGCCACAUUUGUCCAGCUUCCAGCGCAGUCUCUUUCAGGCCAGCAGCCGCAGGAGUAGCCCACAACCAGAUGUACCAGAGGAUCACGUAGAGGAUGAGCAGGAUGGCAAAGAGGAACAAAGCCACGAAGAUGGCCUUGGUCACAGG